CAGCCGCCGCGGGAAUACGGAGGGUGCAAGCGUUACUCGGAAUUACUGGGCGUAAAGCGCACGCAGGCGGUCUGACAAGUCAGAUGUGAAAUCCCCGGGCUUAACCUGGGAACUGCAUUUGAAACUGUCAGGCUGGAGUCUUGUAGAGGGGGGUAGAAUUCCAGGUGUAGCGGUGAAAUGCGUAGAGAUCUGGAGGAAUACCGGUGGCGAAGGCGGCCCCCUGGACAAAGACUGACGCUCAGGUGCGAAAGCGUGGGGAGCAAACAGGAUUAGAUACCCCGGUAGUCCCUGUCUCUUAUAU
rnacentral:rRNA from 1 species